UCCUAGAAAGCAGAGGAAAGGGGACCAAGAUCGUUGGAUCUUUAGGGCAUCGUCGCCAUGGAAGACGAGCUGAACUGGAGCUGUGGAGAGAGAGAGAGAGAGAGAGAGGCUCUGUGACCUCUCUGGCCGCCUCUGAUCUGGAUCUCGAUGCCUUCUCCGGUGGAUUUCAUUCCAAGAAUCAAGAUUUGCGUUAAUGGAUCUAGAAGCCUUCUCUGGUGGAUUUCUCUUCAAAA